rnacentral:rRNA from 1 species
GUAGUCUCGCACAGAUGCAUAUCAAUAAGCGGAGGAAAAGAAACUAACAAGGAUUCCCUUAGUAACGGCGAGUGAAGCGGGAAGAGCUCAAAUUUGAAAUCUUCAAGGUUUUACCUUGACGAAUUGUAGUUUAAAGAAGUGUUUUCUGUUGAAGUUUUGGUAAGAGUUCUUUGGAAUAGGACAUCAUAGAGGGUGAGAAUCCCGUAUUUGACCAUUAUUUUCAGCUGUGUGAUACACUUUCAAAGAGUCGGAUUGUUUGGGAAUGCAGUCCAAAAUGGGUGGUAAAUUUCAUCUAAAGCUAAAUAUUGGCGAGAGACCGAUAGCGAACAAGUACCGUGAGGGAAAGAUGAAAAGAACUUUGAAAAGAGAGUUAAACAGUACGUGAAAUUGUCAAAAGGGAAGCGUUUGACACCAGUGUUGUUUUCCUCGAAAAUCAAUUAAAAAGAGUUUGAUUUUGUUGUGUAUUGACCUUAACAGCUUGCAUUUCAAUUUUCUUGCUUUUUUUAACGCACUUUUCGUUUAACAAGUCAACAUCAGUUUCUUUUGUUGUAAAAAGGUCAUUGGAAGGUGGCUUUCUUUUCGGAGAAAGUGUUUAUAGCCUUUGACUCCCUGCAAUCGGAGAGACUGAGGUCUGCAGCGUAGAUCCUUCGGGGUUAGAUACAUUUGUGCUAAGUUAUAGCUUUUUAUAGACAACUUGUUGACUAUGAUUAGUCUUGUAGCUUACUCGCUUAUGCUAUUUUACCUACGCUUAGGAUGUUGAGCGCAUGUCUCUCUCU